AUUGAACGCUGGCGGCAGGCCUAACACAUGCAAGUCGAGCGGAUGAAGGCUGCUUGCUCCUGGAUUCAGCGGCGCACGGGUGAGUAAUGCCUAGGAAUCUGCCUCGUAGUGGGGUAUGACGUCUGGAAACGGGUGCUAAUACCGCAUACGUCCUGCGGGAGCUACUUGGGGAUCUUUGGACCUCACCCUCUCAUAUGAGCCUAGGCCGGAUUAGCUAGUUGGUGGGUUAAGGGCUUACCAAGGCGAGGAUCCGCAACUGGUCUGAGUGGAGGAUAAGUCACACUGGAAGUGAGACACGGUCCAGAGUACUACGGGAGGCAGCAGUGGGGAAUAGUGGACAGUGGGCGAAAGCAUGAUCCAGCCAUGCCGCGUGUGUGAAGAAGAUCUUCGGAUUGUAAAGAACUUUAAGUUGGGAGAAAGGGCAGUAAGUUAAUACCUUGCGGUUGUGACGGUACCAACAGAAUAAGCACCGGCUAACUUCGUG
rnacentral:rRNA from 1 species